rnacentral:lncRNA from 1 species
ACAUGUAGAUAUUUGAUAGGUUUGUAAUGAGUUGUGUUUAAUUAAUAUUAAAUGAAAUUAUUGUUAUGAUUUGUACGAUAAUACUUUGUAACCCUAAUUUAUAAGACGGAAAUGGGUGAGGGGUGUUACAGUUUCCAAGAAAACAAUUUUAAGGCAAUGACACGCCAACGUUUAAGAUGAAGUUCAUAGGUGACCAAUACAUGAAACCC